rnacentral:rRNA from 1 species
AACAUCUAAGUACCCCGAGGAAAAGAAAUCAACCGAGAUUCCCCCAGUAGCGGCGAGCGAACGGGGAGGAGCCCAGAGCCUGAAUCAGUGUGUGUGUUAGUGGAAGCGUCUGGAAAGGCGCGCGAUACAGGGUGACAGCCCCGUACACAAAAAUGCACAUAUUGUGAGCUCGAUGAGUAGGGCGGGACACGUGGUAUCCUGUCUGAAUAUGGGGGGACCAUCCUCCAAGGCUAAAUACUCCUGACUGACCGAUAGUGAACCAGUACCGUGAGGGAAAGGCGAAAAGAACCCCGGCGAGGGGAGUGAAAAAGAACCUGAAACCGUGUACGUACAAGCAGUGGGAGCCUCUUAAUGGGGUGACUGCGUACCUUUUGUAUAAUGGGUCAGCGACUUAUAUUCUGUAGCAAGGUUAACCGAAUAGGGGAGCCGAAGGGAAACCGAGUCUUAACUGGGCGUUAAGUUGCAGGGUAUAGACCCGAAACCCGGUGAUCUAGCCAUGGGCAGGUUGAAGGUUGGGUAACACUAACUGGAGGACCGAACCGACUAAUGUUGAAAAAUUAGCGGAUGACUUGUGGCUGGGGGUGAAAGGCCAAUCAAACCGGGAGAUAGCUGGUUCUCCCCGAAAGCUAUUUAGGUAGCGCCUCGUGAAUUCAUCUCCGGGGGUAGAGCACUGUUUCGGCAAGGGGGUCAUCCCGACUUACCAACCCGAUGCAAACUGCGAAUACCGGAGAAUGUUAUCACGGGAGACACACGGCGGGUGCUAACGUCCGUCGUGAAGAGGGAAACAACCCAGACCGCCAGCUAAGGUCCCAAAGUCAUGGUUAAGUGGGAAACGAUGUGGGAAGGCCCAGACAGCCAGGAUGUUGGCUUAGAAGCAGCCAUCAUUUAAAGAAAGCGUAAUAGCUCACUGGUCGAGUCGGCCUGCGCGGAAGAUGUAACGGGGCUAAACCAUGCACCGAAGCUGCGGCAGCGACACUAUGUGUUGUUGGGUAGGGGAGCGUUCUGUAAGCCUGUGAAGGUGUCCUGUGAGGUUUGCUGGAGGUAUCAGAAGUGCGAAUGCUGACAUAAGUAACGAUAAAGCGGGUGAAAAGCCCGCUCGCCGGAAGACCAAGGGUUCCUGUCCAACGUUAAUCGGGGCAGGGUGAGUCGACCCCUAAGGCGAGGCCGAAAGGCGUAGUCGAUGGGAAACAGGUUAAUAUUCCUGUACUUGGUGUUACUGCGAAGGGGGGACGGAGAAGGCUAUGUUGGCCGGGCGACGGUUGUCCCGGUUUAAGCGUGUAGGCUGGUUUUCCAGGCAAAUCCGGAAAAUCAAGGCUGAGGCGUGAUGACGAGGCACUACGGUGCUGAAGCGACAAAUGCCCUGCUUCCAGGAAAAGCCUCUAAGCAUCAGGUAACAUCAAAUCGUACCCCAAACCGACACAGGUGGUCAGGUAGAGAAUACCAAGGCGCUUGAGAGAACUCGGGUGAAGGAACUAGGCAAAAUGGUGCCGUAACUUCGGGAGAAGGCACGCUGAUAUGUAGGUGAAGCGACUUGCUCGUGGAGCUGAAAUCAGUCGAAGAUACCAGCUGGCUGCAACUGUUUAUUAAAAACACAGCACUGUGCAAACACGAAAGUGGACGUAUACGGUGUGACGCCUGCCCGGUGCCGGAAGGUUAAUUGAUGGGGUUAGCGGUAACGCGAAGCUCUUGAUCGAAGCCCCGGUAAACGGCGGCCGUAACUAUAACGGUCCUAAGGUAGCGAAAUUCCUUGUCGGGUAAGUUCCGACCUGCACGAAUGGCGUAAUGAUGGCCAGGCUGUCUCCACCCGAGACUCAGUGAAAUUGAACUCGCUGUGAAGAUGCAGUGUACCCGCGGCAAGACGGAAAGACCCCGUGAACCUUUACUAUAGCUUGACACUGAACAUUGAGCCUUGAUGUGUAGGAUAGGUGGGAGGCUUUGAAGUGUGGACGCCAGUCUGCAUGGAGCCGACCUUGAAAUACCACCCUUUAAUGUUUGAUGUUCUAACGUGGGCCCCUUACCGGGGUUGCGGACAGUGUCUGGUGGGUAGUUUGACUGGGGCGGUCUCCUCCUAAAGAGUAACGGAGGAGCACGAAGGUUGGCUAAUCCUGGUCGGACAUCAGGAGGUUAGUGCAAUGGCAUAAGCCAGCUUGACUGCGAGCGUGACGGCGCGAGCAGGUGCGAAAGCAGGUCAUAGUGAUCCGGUGGUUCUGAAUGGAAGGGCCAUCGCUCAACGGAUAAAAGGUACUCCGGGGAUAACAGGCUGAUACCGCCCAAGAGUUCAUAUCGACGGCGGUGUUUGGCACCUCGAUGUCGGCUCAUCACAUCCUGGGGCUGAAGUAGGUCCCAAGGGUAUGGCUGUUCGCCAUUUAAAGUGGUACGCGAGCUGGGUUUAGAACGUCGUGAGACAGUUCGGUCCCUAUCUGCCGUGGGCGCUGGAGAACUGAGGGGGGCUGCUCCUAGUACGAGAGGACCGGAGUGGACGCAUCACUGGUGUUCGGGUUGUCAUGCCAAUGGCACUGCCCGGUAGCUAAAUGCGGAAGAGAUAAGUGCUGAAAGCAUCUAAGCACGAAACUUGCCCCGAGAUGAGUUCUCCCUGACUCCUUGAGAGUCCUGAAGGAACGUUGAAGACGACGACGUUGAUAGGCCGGGUGUGUAAGCGCAGCGAUGCGUUGAGCUAACCGGUACUAAUGAACCGUGAGGCUUAACCUU